rnacentral:tmRNA from 1 species
GGGGGCGUACUGGUUUCGACGGGGACAUAGAAUCAGGUAUAGCGGGCGGAUGCGCCUAUCAUCCUUAAAAUGGGCAACUUAUAAAUUAAAGAACAACGAUAACGUUGAGCUUGUCGCGGCUUAAGCCGUGACCGUCCCGCCCGGAAGGACCACGAGCCGGGAUGGGGCGUCGUUUAGUGGUGAACGUGCGUGUACUAAGCUUUGCGUACACCAUGAAUCAUGAAGCUACCAGACCCCGUAGCGUGGCGGUUCGCGCCGGGGCGAGGGAAUGUAAUGAAUCGCCUGCGCCCGGAGAAGUGCCUGAGGACGUGUUUUCGGACGGGGGUUCGACUCCCCCCGCCUCCACCA